AAGAGAGCGUCUCCGCGCCGGGGCGGGGGGAGAAGUGGGACCCUCACAGCUUUGUAUUUGGAAGACCACCCUAAUCUGUUCUGAACUUGCAUGAAAAUGGAAGAAACCCCUGAUAUUACGCCUCUCCAUGCUUCAGUUUCUUCAGCAGUACUCCAGAGACGAUGAUCUGUAAGUGGAAAAAACUGAAAUCUCUACAGCCAGUGUAAGCCUGCCAACCUUUGCCUCCAUUGAGUGCCCAGGAGAAUCAAAUGGAUCUGAUCCAGGCUUACAGUCAUAUCUUGAUUCAUCAUCUCUUCUCUCUCAAGAAAUAGUUUCCUCCUACUAUUUAAGCAAAUCUUUGCAGAUUCGUGCUGGGUUAUCUCGUGUGCCAAGAGGAUUCUUGAUGCUGUGCAGUAAAUUGCUAAGCUCUGUGGCAGCCUUGAAAACAAGAAGCCUGGAAACCACAGGAGGGAGCAGAAUGGGGCUGGAGUUGCUUCAAAGCCUUAUUUCCAGCGAAAUGUCAUUAUUUGACCUUUCUGGUGGUUCCCUUAAAGACUUGCAGGACUGUCUUUAUUUUACCUGACUCAGAGCUCACUCAGUGCAAAAAGUCUUUCCCAAGGAACAUUAAAAAAAAUUUUUAGAUGGAAUUGUUUAACUUUGUGGCUACUGGAAACAUUAGAAAACAGUCGGGGCAAACAGUAGGCUAAGAAAAGCUAGGGAAUGAGAUGUCCAUAGAGAUUCUAAAAAACUCUGACAUAUUCCUGGGAAUCUAGAAGUCCAUGUACAUGCAUAGGGCUGUGCACAUGAUCAGGAAAAACAUAAGAAGGCCCUAAGUUCUGUCUUCUGGCUGACCUUCAGGCUCUGUGAAAAUAGGAAAUUAAAACUCGGGUAUAGUUGUCAGUUGCCUGGCUGAGCACUGAAGGAAUGCUCCAACAUGCUCACAGAGACCCUUGGCAAAAACUGGGAGACUUCCUGGUUCUGGCAUUUAAGGAAAUCUCUCUCCAAUCCUUAGCUGACCACUAAGCUAACAACAAAAACAACAAAUAGCAACAAUAAACACUGAGGUUGGGGUGAAGAAUUUGACUUCCAGAGAUGCCAUUUUAUAUUUUUCAAAAUGUCCAGUUUUCAAGAAAAAAAUGACAAGACAUGCUGAGUAACAUUAAAGUAUGACCCCUAUACAUGGGGAAAAGCCAAGCAAUCAACAGAAAUAGAAAUUGUCCCUGAGGAAGCCCAGAUGUUGAACUUAGUAGACAAAACUUUAGCUAUUUUAGGUGUGUUCAAAGAACUAAAGUAAACCAUGUCUACAGAACUAAAGGAAAGUAUGAAAAAGAUGUCUUACCAAAUAAAAAAUAGAAAUUAUAGAAAAGAACCAAGUAGAAGAAGUUUUGUAGUUGAAUAAUAACUGAAAUCAAAAUUUACUACAGAGGCUCAACUGUAGAUUUCAGUAGAUAGAAGAAAGAAUCAGUGAACCUGAAAACAGUUUAUUGAGAUUAUCCAGUCAGAGUCAUAUAAAGAAAAAUGAAGCAGAAAAUGAACAGGCUCAGAGAUGUACAGAACAUCAUAAAACAUACCAAUGCAUGAAUGGUGGGAGUCUCAGAAGAGAAGAAGAGAGAAAUAGGGGUAGAAAGAAUAUUUCAAAAAAUAAUGGCUGAAAAUGUGCCAAAUUUGAUGAAAAACAUUAAUCUCCACAUCCAAGAAGCUCAAUGAAUUCCCCUAGACACAUCAUAAUCAAACUGUUGAAAGCUAAAGACAAAGAGAGAAUCCUGAAUGCAAAGAGAAGAGCGAAUCCUGAAUGCAAAGAGAAGAGACUCAUCAUAUCCAAGGGAUGAGAUUUUUCAUCAAAAACCAUAAAGGAGACCAUCUUCCUGUGGCACUUUGCUUGAAAGUUACUCCUUGCCCUGAUGAAAAGCUGAGGGGAAUGAAGAGUUCCUGACCUGCUGGGAGUGGACCGCAGUGACCCACCAGCCCUCUUGGGUGCUGACUGGAUCUAGUGGUAUAUAUCUAAAGUGACUUGACAGUCCUCCUGUUCUGGCACCGGUGAAGAAGGCUCACACCUCCUCUCCUGAUGCCUGAGAAGGCAAAUAUUCAACUUCACACAGUGAUUUGGAAAGAAUGUGACUGACAGAUUCUUAAACAUGUUUAGGGCUUAUCAGGUUUCACUGCAAUAUACCAUAUAGGUUAGUUCUAUAUAUAGUUUUCUUCCUGAAAACUGUAAUUUUAUUUUCAUUCCACAAGUAUCAGGGACAUAAUAAUGAAAAAAUCAAAAAAGGUCCUUGCUUUCAUAGAGCUUACAACCUAGUGACCAGUGAUACUAUUACCACAAAUUUAGUUGAACUUACAGUUUCACCUCUAAAGCCUUUUUCACCUCUGGGUCCCUGAAAGAAAAAUAAAAUGUUAGUUUAGUGUUGUUGAUAGUUAUUUAUCAAAUGUAGUUGAGGCUGUAUCCAGAAACAUGAUAAUUUCUGUUGGGUUUUUUCCUAUCUAGCAAGACCUGUUUAGUUAAAGUUACCUAAAUUCUGAUUUUCCUAAGUUAAGCAAAGCAAAACAAAUACAACCUACUGACUCACCAUGUCUGUUUUGCUAUGCCUAGUUCCACCUUAAAGUGAGGGUUAUGCUACUUAUUCAGUUAAGUCAAAACAGCUGAUCUGACAAUCAAAGGCAAAAUAAUUUAGAAAGAAAAUUAAGAAAGUUAAAUUCUUCUAAUAUUUGUUUCUCUCAGCCUUUGAAAAACCCUGCUUCCAGGGUGGUUUCCUCCUUCUCUUUUAUCUUCUUUUUUUAAAUUCCUCCUUCUGAGCUAUAUCCCAUAAAUUUUGAUACGUUGUGUAUACAGUUUCAGUCAAUUCAAAAUAUUUUCUAACUUUCUUUGAGACACUCUGGUCCUUGAAUUAUUUAGAAGUGUGAGGUUUAAUUUUCAAGUGUUUGGGGAUUUUCCUAUUAUCUUUCUAGUUUAUUGAUUCUUAAUUUAAUUCUGUUAUGGCCAGAGAAUAUACCUUACAUGACUUCUGUUAUUUUAAGUUUAGUAAAAUUUGUUUUAUGAUCUAAAAUAUGGUUUAUUUCAGUGAAUGUUCCAUGUGCACUUGAAGACAAUGUGAACUCUGCUGUUGCUGGAUGUCACUACUGUUAUUCCUGUUAAUAUUUUCAUGUUCCUUAUGGAAAUUGUGUAUUUUUUUAUUAAAAAAUGAGAUACUACUA